GAUGAACGCUGGCGGCGUGCUUAACACAUGCAAGUCGAACGGAAAGGCCCAAUCUUGCUUGGGUACUCGAGUUGCGAACGGGUGAGUAACACGUGGGUUAUCUGCCCUGCACCUCGGGAUAUGCCAGGGCAACUGGGUCUAUUACCGGCUAGGAUUUCUUCUCUGUUGUUGUGCCGGAGAGUUUUUUGGGUGUGGGCUGAGUUCGCGCCCUCUCAGCUUGUUGGUGGGGUAUUGGCUUACCAAGACGUCGGCGGGUAGCCGGACUGGGAGGGUGUGCGUCCACAGUGAGACUGAGACACAGACCAGACUCCGACUGGUGGGAGAAGUGGGGAAUGUUACACAAGGGGCGCGAGCGUGAUGCAGCGACACCGCGGGGGGGAUGACGGCCUUCGGGUUGGGAACGCCAUGCGCUAGUGCCGAAGCGGUUUGUGACGGUACCUGGAGAAGAAGCACCGGCUAACUACGUG
rnacentral:rRNA from 1 species